AAAUUAUAUAGUCUAUUAUAAGGAUUUUAAAUUGCAAAUUUAAAGGUGUAUUACUAAUACUAUAAUU
rnacentral:tRNA from 1 species